GACGAACGCUGGCGGCGUGCCUAAUACAUGCAAGUCGAGCGGACUUGAAGGAGUGCUUGCACUCCUGAGAGUUAGCGGCGGACGGGUGAGUAACACGUAGGCAACCUGCCCUCAAGACUGGGAUAACUACCGGAAACGGUAGCUAAUACCGGAUAAUUUAUUACAUAGCAUUAUGUGAUAAUGAAAGACGGAGCAAUCUGUCACUUGGGGAUGGGCCUGCGGCGCAUUAGCUAGUUGGUGGGGUAACGGCCCACCAAGGCGACGAUGCGUAGCCGACCUGGGAGGGUGAACGGCCACACUGGGACUGAGACACGGCCCAGACUCCUACGGGAGGCAGCAGUAGGGAAUCUUCCGCAAUGGGCGAAAGCCUGACGGAGCAACGCCGCGUGAGUGAUGAAGGUUUUCGGACCGUAAAGCUCUGUUGCCAAGGAAGAACGUCUCAUAGAGUAACUGCUAUGAGAGUGACGGUACUUGAGAAGAAAGCCCCGGCUAACUACGUG
rnacentral:rRNA from 1 species